rnacentral:lncRNA from 1 species
GUGUUUUUGUUUUAUAAAAUACCAUAAAAUAGUUUUUAAAAACCGUUUUCAUGAAUGUUUUUAAAAACAUAGCCUUCAUUUUUCUUUAAAAGUUUUGAAAGGUACAUUCUUUUUGAAUGUUUAUUUAAUCAAUCUUUUUGUUCACUUUUCAGGCUUUGCAGUUGUUGAAGUGUUCUCUGCAGUCCAACGCAGCUCUCACUGAAGUCUUCCUUGAGAAAGAAGAAACACAACAGUCCAAAGCAGCUCCCGCAGUUGCCGCAGUUGGCGCACCUCCCGCAGUUGCCGCAGUUGGCGAUAUGGGGUGUGGUUGUGGAAUCAGUUGCUGGUAGUGGGUAUGAUAGAUAGGGAGGUGGUGAGCUUGUCAUGACGUUUCAAACAGGAGCGGUUGCCGCAGUUGCCGAAGUUGCCGCACGUCCCGCACCUCCGGCAGUUACCAUUAACAGUCGCAGCUACCGCUGAAGUAUUACAAAUACAAAAGGACUAU